GUUGCUUCAGCUUUGGACAGUUGAAUGACAGCAGCAUGUGGAAGCCAAUACAGCAACCUGCAAGAGCUCUCUGUUCAGCAGCAGCAGUGAGUCUGGUGUUCCAGAGGUCUGGGAUCUAGGUCAAACAAUGAUCCCCAACCACUUCAAAUCUUCCCAUUAUCCACAAGGCCACUGGACUCUCAGGAUGGGCCUCUCUGCUGCUCAGAACAGUCCUUCACCCACUACAAGCUGCCAGAACUGACAGAGCCACCUAUGAAGCCUCCAUGAGGAAGAGGACAUCCUGAAGCAGUACUAUGGUGCCAUGACUUGGACAGGAUCAGAAUCAUCAUUGGACUCCUGUAUCUCUCUCCUGGGAUCCCAGCCCAUCCUUAAGACUCUGUGGCAAAAAAUAUCCUACAUGAAGGAUCCUUGUGAGAAUUCAGUGGAAAGAAGGGGCCAUCAAAGAAGGAUGUACUUUUCUCUGAAGGGAGGAGAAAGCUUCCACUUUGCUUAUGACUGUGUCCAAUUACUGAUGGAGUCUGUGGUCACAAAAGGGUUCUAUAGCCUUGGCAUCUUUGAAAGAGCCUCAGAUGAUCACUGA
rnacentral:lncRNA from 1 species